rnacentral:lncRNA from 1 species
CAGGUAGAAGGACAAGAAAAUAAUGAGCCAUUGCCAUAGAAACACAAAGGGUUAAAGCAGUACUGCUAUAUGCCAGUCCUGUCUGCAUUCUUAAGGGUGCAGUUCAACACAUCCUGUGUAGAUUAUGGUGAAAAAGUAUUCCAAAGGAAAGUCCUUUCAAAGCUAGUGUCAGAGUGACACAGCCAAUUGGGCAAUGAUCUUCAG